rnacentral:rRNA from 1 species
UACCAGAGAUGGUUGCGUGCCUUCGGGAAUCUAAAUACAGGUGCUGCAUGGCUGUCGUCAGCUCGUGUCGUGAGAUGUUGGGUUAAGUCCCGCAACGAGCGCAACCCUUGUCUUUUGUUGCCAGCAUUCGGGAUGGGAACUUUAAGGAUACUGCCAGUGACAAACUGGAGGAAGGUGGGGAUGACGUCAAGUCCUCAUGGCCCUUACGGCCAGGGCUACACACGUGCUACAAUGGUGGGUACAAAGGGCAGCUACACAGCGAUGUGGUGCUAAUCUCAAAAAGCCGAUCUCAGUCCGGAUUGCAGUCUGCAACUCGACUCCAUUAAGUUGGAAUCGCUAGUAAUCGCGGAUCAGAAUGCCGCGGUGAAUACGUUCCCGGGCCUUGUACACACCGCCCGUCACACCAUGGGAGUUGGUAACACCCGAAGCAAGUGGGCUAA